GAGGGAACCCAGCUGUCUGGACACCGCCAUAGCCCGCGAGAAUUCCUGCUGGACAACAGACGUCUGAUCGCGACUCUUCCUGCAACUUGAAACUGGUCUACAGAGAGAAGAGAAAAUUUGCUCUAUGGUUAUCACAUUGGAGAGAUAUGAUAUCUAAAAACCGAAGAGAUUCAUGUUGUUUGGUUGAAUCAACCCAUAGGCCAAGUUAUCCAUCCUCCAUCAACACAGCUCACAGGGAUCCACGAUUCAGACUCUUUGGCCAAGAAUAGUGACAACUGGGUCAUGACACUAAGGCCUCCUAAAAUGAAAUGCUAACCUGUCG